rnacentral:rRNA from 1 species
AUUGAACGCUGGCGGCAGGCCUAACACAUGCAAGUCGAGCGAGCGGCGGACGGGUGAGUAAUGUAUGGGGACUGCCCGCUAGAGGGGGAUAACUACUGGAAACGGUAGCUACGACCGCAUACUAUAGGAGAACCCAUAGGGGAUUAGCUAGUAGGUGAGGGAAUGGCGCACCUAGGCGACGAUCCCUAGCUGGUCUGAGAGGAUGAUCAGCCACACGGGAACUGAGACACGGCCCAGACUCCUACGGAGGCAGCAGUGGGGAAUAUUGCACAAUGGGCGAAAGCCUGAUGCAGCCAUGCCGCGUGUAUGAAGAAGGCCCUAGGGUUGUAAAGUACUUUCAGUCGGGAGGCGUUACCAACAGAAGAAGCACCGGCUAACUCCGUGCCAGCAGCCGCGGUAAUAC